GUGCUUUGGGAGCACGUAAACUAAAAUUGGAAAAAAUGCAGAGAAAAUGAGCAUGGUCAGUACACAGGGUGACAUGCACAUUUGUGAAGCAUUCCAUAUAUUU
rnacentral:snRNA from 1 species